GGGUGAAAACAGGCUCCCCAGCCCCAUCGACACCUGCUGAACCUGACUGCCAAGAUCUGCAUGCCCCUAAGAAGCCCGGAGAUGCCACCCGCCUGGGAAUGCCUUGAGAGUAGGGCAGCAUUACCUGGAGGAGAGGCCGAAGCAACCGCUCCAGCAUGUGAGGCAGGCAGCACCGUGUGUUACAUUCCUGAACUCUGGAGCCAGACUGCCUGGGCAGCUAUUUACAUACAGCGAUGAAGAGCUUCUCCUCCGUCUUCAGCGUGAUGGUUUCCAAAUCUUCAUGCCCAACAGGCUCUGUACCCAAAGCGUUCUCGGUGGCCACAAUCUGGGGAGCUGAU